rnacentral:tRNA from 1 species
GGAGAGAUGGCUGAGUGGUUGAUAGCAACGGUCUUGAAAACCGAUAUAGUUAUGAAGAGAUAACUAUCGAGGGUUCGAAUCCCUCUCUCUCCC